CAGACGAGAAGAAUUCAAGAGGAAGCUUCUCUGGGAGUAUCAGUUUUAACAAUGUUCAAGACCAGCUUGUUCGAAGACUCAUAGCUUCGUUAGAGCGUGUUGCUGAGAGUACUAAUCAUCUCACUUGUCUUCCGUUAUCAUCACCUUCCAUUGAUGGUGCUGGACAAAGCGAUGUGGCUAUUUCCACUAAAGCCCCGCUUUUGGGAAGAUCCAACAAGCAAGAGAAGAAGAAGAAGAAAGGGAAAGAUCAUGUGAACACAUUGAGAGGCGUUGAGGUAGAGGAACAACGGAAAUCUACUGAUAGAGGAAACGUUACUGAGUGUUCUAAUGCCUCAUCUGCAGCAGCAGCAGCAACAUAUGUUCCAAGAAGGGAUCGAUCUAGUGGCUCGCAGAGCAUUGAAAAGAAGUGGCGGCGUCAAGUGAAGAUUGUUCUUGUCAUUGAUGCAGCUAUUUGUUUGACUCUACUUGGUGUUUGGUUGGCCAUUUGUCAGGGCAUUCAGUGUAUACGUUCUUGAUUAACAAGCCCUCUUCUCCUCUAAGUUCUUACUUUCACCUUGAUUGAUUGGUCUAUUAUUCUCUCUCAUAUGUAUUUCCUUUUCUGUAAUUCUGAUAUAGAUACUGCAGUUCUGUAAGAGGCUCAAGUUUCCACCUGGGUUUGUGUAUGUAUGAUUUGUUGAAUUGUGUUGGAAGUAAACUUGAGAGUUAACUUGGAGCUCAAGUUAUACUUAUCCUAUUUUAGUUAUGAUUAGGAUAAAUAUGGUUUUACUAGUGUAUUUAGGAAAUAUAAAGAUCUAUAUAAGGAGAUGUCAGCUUGUGACAUAACUUAAGCGUUUUAAAGAUCUUGUGUGAGCUUAAGAAUUGUGAUACUUUCUUAAAGCUAAUAAUAAGGAUUGAGUCAUUCUUAUUUGAUCUUCUUGAGUUAUACGUUUGAGGUUAAAACAAUAAUUGGUAUCAGAGCAAAACCAUGGGAGAGAUAACAACAUCGAGUUCAAUGGCGAUAAUCAAAGAUGCAGGAUCCUCGUCUAUCAAUUGUCCGAUGCUUACUUCAAGCAAUUACACCGUCUGGGCGAUCCGGAUGAAAACAUUGCUUAGAGUGCACAAAGCUUGGGAUGUUAUUGAGAAGGAAUCAGAUGAGAUGGAUAGGAACGACAUGGCUGUUGCCCUACUUUUCCAAUCCAUACCGGAAGCACUGAUAUUACAACUGGGGGACCUAGACAAUGCAAAGAAAGUGUGGGAAGCUAUCAAAUCACGUCACAUGGGAGCAGACCGGGUCAAGGAGGCUAGAUUACAAACCCUAAUUGCUGAAUUUGAUCGCUUAAAGAUGAAGGACUCAGAUACAAUUGAUGAUUUUGUGGGGAAAAUAUCAGAAAUUGCAUCUAAGUCAGCUGCUCUUGGAGAAAAGAUGGAAGAGACGAAGCUAGUAAAGAAAUUUUUGCAGAGUUUACCGCGAAAAAAUAUAUACAUAUAGUUGCUUCUCUCGAGCAAGUCUUGGAUCUUAAAACCACAAGUUUUGAGGACAUUAUUGGUCGUAUGAAAGCCUAUGAAGAAAGAGUAUGCGAAGAAGAAGAGGAUAAACAAGAUAACCAGAGCAAAUUGAUGUAUGCUAACACGGAGAAUUCACAAGGAAAUCGUGAAUAUAAUGGAUACAGAGGCAGAGGUGGUAGAUUUCAAGGCAGAGGAAGAGGUCGCGGUCGAUCAUACAGAGAUGUUGAUAUGUCAAAGAUCACUUGCUACCGAUGUGAUAAGAACGGUCACUUCGCAGCAUCAUGCCCGGACCGUCUGUUGAAGCUUCAAGAAACAUAUGAGAACAAAAACGAUGGAACUCAUGAAGCUGAAGGUCUACUAAUGCAUGAAGUAGUAUACCUUAAUGAAAGAAACGUCAGACCUAAAGAAUUUGAAGCUUCACUACAUUUCCUCGUAAAUACCUCAAAACUUAUUCCUCGUAUAUUACACGUAAACCCUUUCACGUAAUAUAUUCGUUAAACUUUCCCAGUAGUGUUGACAUAAAAGUUUUCCUCAUAAGUUCCUCGUAAACUUUUCACGUAAUGUACUCGUAAUUUAGCUACAAAUUUACUUUGAUUAUUUAUUUUCCAGAAUUAAAAAAUAUAAUAAAAAUUAUUUAAUUUAUUAAUAAAAAUAUAAUUUAAAAAAUGUAAAAACAAAAAAAUAUUUUAUACAUAAAUAAGUUUUGAAUUUAUAAUACAACCAACGAAAAGAAAAAAAAAUGAACAAAGGAUCGUUCAUCGGCCGGUAGAAUUCCUCACUCCUCUCUACAUCCGCCUCGUCAUGUGCGCCGGAUGACUCUCCUGGAAUGGGAUUUUGUUGUUGCAUGUUCCUCAACAAGGACUCCCAUUCCGGAUUUGUAGCCGCUACAACGUCCAAGAAGUCGUCGAGUCCACCCAUACGAGCUGUGAACGCAGAUCGCGUCGAGUCUAACUCGUUAUGCAGUGUUGUGUCUCAAGAGGCAAUCAGAUUCUGUACGGUUACAACAAUGGCGGAGACCACCACCGUAACGAAAGUCUCGCUGCCUUGUGUUUAGAAAAGACUCCGCCUUUCCACAAGUGGUACUUCGAAACCAUAAGUAAGAGGACCUUCGGGUUCUUGAUUGAAGAAGAUGGGCUCGUGUAUUUCGCCAUUGUUGAUGAGGUUUUCAAGAGAUCUAGCGUUCUUGAGUUCCUUGAGAAUCUGAGGGAUGAGUUAAAGAAAGCAGACGAGAAGAAUUCAAGAGGAAGCUUCUCUGGGAGUAUCAGUUUUAACAAUGUUCAAGACCAGCUUGUUCGAAGACUCAUAGCUUCGUUAGAGCGUGUUGCUGAGAGUACUAAUCAUCUCACUUGUCUUCCGUUAUCAUCACCUUCCAUUGAUGGUGCUGGACAAAGCGAUGUGGCUAUUUCCACUAAAGCCCCGCUUUUGGGAAGAUCCAACAAGCAAGAGAAGAAGAAGAAGAAAGGGAAAGAUCAUGUGAACACAUUGAGAGGCGUUGAGGUAGAGGAACAACGGAAAUCUACUGAUAGAGGAAACGUUACUGAGUGUUCUAAUGCCUCAUCUGCAGCAGCAGCAGCAACAUAUGUUCCAAGAAGGGAUCGAUCUAGUGGCUC
rnacentral:lncRNA from 1 species